CAGACACACCGGGACAGACACACCUGGACAGACACACCUGAACAGACACACCUGAACAGACACACCCGGACAGACACACUGGGACAGGCACACCGGGACAGACACACUGGGACAGGCACACCUGGACAGACACACUGGGACAGGCACACCCAGACAGACACACUGGGACAGGCACACCUGGACAGACACACCUGGACAGACACACCGGGACAGGCACACCGGGACAGGCACACCGGGACAGACACACCGGGACAGACACACCUGGACAGACACACCUGGACAGACACACCGGGACAGACACACCUGGACAGACACACCGGGACAGGCACACCUCGACAGGUACACCCAGACAGACAGACCAGGACAGACAGACCGGGACAGACACACCCAGACAGUCACACUCGGACAGACACACUGGGACUCGCACUCCUUUGCUCCAGCACGGACCUACCCCUUCCCCUCCAGGGUUUGGGAGGGCUGGGCGGUGCCUGCCCUGCCUGGCCCCACUGGAUCCCCCAUGGGAUUUCUGGCCCACCGCCAAGGGCUUUGGGACCAUCGGUGGUUCUCUCCUCUCUGCAGCCCUGGAUCCCAGGGUUUCCAGGAUCCUGGACCUGCACCCUGCUGAUGCCUGGCAAAUCCAGGGUGUGGGGUGUGGGAAUGGGGGAUUCCUUUGUGGGGCUCAGAUGUGGGGGUGCAGACACAGCCCAGCUCCUGCCUUGUCCCCCCUGGUGAACUCAUCUGGCAGUGCCCCAUUCCCUGUCCCAUUCCCUGUGGCAGUGCCCCAUUCCCUGUCCCUGUCCCUGUCCCAGUCCCUGUCCCAGUCCCUGUCCUAUUCCGUGUCCCAGUCCCUGUCCUAUUCCCUGUUCCAUUCCCUGUUCCAUUCCCUGUCCCAUUCCCUGUCCCAGUCCCUGUCCCAUUCCCUGCCCUAUUCCCUGUUCCAUUCCCUGCCCUAUUCCCUGUUCCAUUCCCUGUCCCAUUCCCUGUCCCAUUCCCUGUUCCAUUCCCUGUUCCAGUCCCUGUUCCAUUCCCUGUCCCAGUCCCUGCCCCAUUCCCUGCCCCAUUCCCUGUUCCAUUCCCUGCCCCAUUCCCUGCCCCAUUCCCUGCCCCAUUCCCUGUCCCAUUCCCUUCCCCAGUCCCUGUUCCGCUCUCUGCAGCACCCACGUGUGGCUGUGCCGAGAGCUGGUGGCAGCAGGGACGGUGCCAUCCAUCGCAGCAGUGCCCUGGGAUGGCCGGUGCUGGCAGAGCCCUGGGAGCCCCCGGGCAUUGGGGGUCACCCGUGUCCCCAGGGCUGCGUGGGGACCAGAAAGGGGGGCUGCCCUGCAAGGUACGGCCCUGGGCUCAGGGGUUUGGGGUCUGCCACAGGCACAGCUGGGACAGGAUGCACCGCUGGGGGCAGGGAUGGGUGCAGGGAUGCUCCUGGCUCUGCUGGAGAGCAGCGGGAUGUGGCCAGGACACCAAGCUUGGCCCUGCUCCUUGUGUCCCAUGUGGUGGCCACGGGAAAGCACGAAGAAAUGCAAUAG
rnacentral:lncRNA from 1 species